AAACUCCGCAAUGCGGGCAACCGUGACGGGGCCACCCCGAGUGCCCCGAAGAGGGGCUUUUCCCCGCUGUAAGGAGGCGGGGGAAUAAGCG
rnacentral:rRNA from 1 species